UUAUUAUGACCCGACUUCAACUUUUUUCACUUCCCUUACAAACCCUAAUUUUUAUCUCAUCUUCUUCUGCCGUUCAUUCCUAUUCACAAGGAAUCAAGACUUCAAAAUCACCAAGAACCGCAUCAACAAUCAACAUAAUAUGUUGUUUAGAAUUUUGUUUUUUUUCGAACGGUGGGUUUUGACAAGAGAGAGAGAGAGACAAAGGCGGUGUCGGAGGCACGGCGCCGGUGUUUCUCCUCAACUUGCUAGGGUUCCGGCACUGUCUACAGAUUUGUCACUUUGUUCUGAUCAUCCGAAGACAAGUAAUCGCUAGGGUUCGGUUCCGGCACUGUGUUCAGAUCCUCAACUAUCUAGGGUUUCGGCGAACUUUUUGAUUUCGCUGGUUUUAAUUCAUGGCAACGACGACGACUUCACGCAUAUUAGUGUUCUGUUUGGUUUCUCCCACAGAUAUAAAGGACCCAAUGACUCGAUCCAGUGAACAGGUGAAGGUGGCGCCAACUAAACUCAGGAUUACUACUGUCGUUGAUACCAAAGCAAUCUAAAGGUGAAGCUUCUAUUGUUGUUAACGAUGGUGUGCGGUACUUUGUCGUUUUCGAGUCAGUUAACCACCCCGAAAACCGAAAGCCCGAGACCAGGAUGCAGACAAACAUCCUUAACCGAUCAAUCUCGGGUCAAAUUUUAAGACAGCAUGCAAGACUUCAAAGAGCAUACUCGGACCACAAUCUGUGUUAUUCUGCUAAUAAUGUUCAGGCGUCGAUGAAUCAACCGAAGUUGAAAAACAGCCGUUCAAUGGGAGUUUUCAACUUGAAACCGUCAAGCUUGAUUGUUCCAAAUGCACUCAAGACAGAUGUUGGUGAAAUAAUGGCGAAGGAAGGGAAGAAACGGGCAAAACAAUGAACUCGACGGUGAUAACGAAGAAGAAAAGGGAUGUGACGAAGGUUGUAAGGUGGAUUACAACGAUGACGAAGACAGUGUUAUCGUUAAUCAGGAGACGUUCUCUAGAAUGUUGAAGCACGUAUCUUGGUCUGAUACCAAGCUUUUAUCACAACUAGCUUCUCUGUAACAGGGCUUACGUUUUCCCAGAGAUUGAGGUAUUUGUGUUUUGUUGAUAUGUUACCACCAGUGUAUAAGACACAUUUGGCUUAAGAAACAACUCUUAAUCUUUGGCUAGAAACGCUCAUCACACAUCUAGAAGGAGGGUGAUUUUUGCAGGUCAGCAGCAUAAGCGGAUCUCUGUGAAACUCAAGGUCUAGGAGAGAGGGAGCUAUAGAGAGAAAGAAACAGCCGCAAUCUUUAGUUCAGCACCAUUUAGACCAUCGAUCACCACCGCUGGCUACCGUCACCGACUUUGUCUCCCACAAAUACCAUUGCACCUGCAAACCCCCUAAUCGAACACUAGGGCAUCCGAAUAUCCUUCAGUCGAAUACCCAGUCGGAGUGGGAGGAUUCGAUGAGUUGUGUAGUGUUUGAAGUGGAGGUUUCAUCGGAGAAUAGGUUUUUAUCGAUAAAGUGUCUCAACAAGUCAUAAAAUAUCCUCAUGUGUGUCGGCGAACAGGAUCGUUGCCGGAGAUUAACAUACCCGUCAACAGUUCAAGUGUCCUCCUACUAACGGUUCGGUGGCCAACCCGUGCCGUGAUGGACUAUUGACUUAACGACGGUGUAAUGGAAACCGUACCCUGUUUCCGGUGCCGACGCUAUCUUCUUCACAGAGCUUUCUCAGUUCGUUUUCCUAACAUAUAUAUUAGAGGUGGCUUCUUAGAGGUUUUUACGACGGUCAUCUGUAUAUGGUCCAGAUAAUCAUUAUUAGAGAACAUGAAAGAUAAGUGGAAUCAAGGGAAAACAGGUGAACAUAUGUUUCUUAGAAUUGCUUUUGGUUUUGUUAUUCCUAUUUUUUUCCAACAUAUGUGAGUUAGGUAUGAGUAGCUAUGCUCUGUUUCACUUUUAUCUUCAAAGAAUGCCACCUCCUGGACUCUCCUGGCCAUCUUCUUUAAUCACAUGAAUAUAUCUUUUAAUCAUCAAAUUGUCUUUUAUUGUUUUUUAUUACUGAAGGUUGUUGUAAUGGAAUUUAAAUGUAUUGUAUGUUAUAAGGUAAUUGAAUUGUUUGUUUUACGUUUGUGAUUGAA